UGCAAGUCGAACGGCAGCACGGAGCUUGCUCUGGUGGCGAGUGGCGAACGGGUGAGUAAUAUAUCGGAACGUACCCUGGAGUGGGGGAUAACGUAGCGAAAGUUACGCUAAUACCGCAUACGAUCUACGGAUGAAAGUGGGGGAUCGCAAGACCUCAUGCUCGUGGAGCGGCCGAUAUCUGAUUAGCUAGUUGGUAGGGUAAAAGCCUACCAAGGCAUCGAUCAGUAGCUGGUCUGAGAGGACGACCAGCCACACUGGAACUGAGACACGGUCCAGACUCCUACGGGAGGCAGCAGUGGGGAAUUUUGGACAAUGGGCGAAAGCCUGAUCCAGCAAUGCCGCGUGAGUGAAGAAGGCCUUCGGGUUGUAAAGCUCUUUUGUCAGGGAAGAAACGGUGAGAGCUAAUAUCUCUUGCUAAUGACGGUACCUGAAGAAUAAGCACCGGCUAACUACGUGCCAGCAGCCGCGGUAAU
rnacentral:rRNA from 1 species